GACUAUGUGGCGCAGUGGUUAGCGCAGUCGCCUUACACGCGAAAGGUCGCAGGUUCGACCCCUGCCAUGGUCA
rnacentral:tRNA from 1 species